CAAAUUCUCCAGCUGUGCAUUGUUUAUUAGGCUGACACCAGCAGGAAGAGUAAUUGCAAUCCCUCAAAUUUGUGUCUAUUCUGUGUGCUCGGUGUCUGACAAAUGACAUUUGUUUAAAAAUGUGAAUUAGAACCUGUGCAAGCAUCUGCGACUCUGCAAUGAAAUAAUAUUUUGAUAUAUAGGUCUGCUAUAAACAGAAAAAAGAGGAUUAAUGAGUGUGUGUGUGUCUGAGUGUGGGUGUGUGUGUUUUUCUGCCUGCAGUAACACACUAAAAGUCUUCGUCCAAUCAAACUUACUUCUCUCUGUGCUCCUGAUGUGCUGCCCUUUAAGUCCACAGCAUUGACAGCGGCGGCACGGGAAGAGUUUUUGUCACGCAGCUUCUUCCAGAGAUAGCUGAACGAUGCUUUCGAAGUUUCCUUAUUGGGAAAGUUCUCACCACAGAGUACACAAGUUACCACGGAUACACUUGCACAAACACAAGUGGAUACAUGCUCAAAGACACUUUUCCAGGUUCCAUUUCAGAGAAGUGAGGAGGAGAAAGCAAUGAGCACAAAUAGAGAAAACAAUCUGAGGCCACACUAGGAUUGGGCUGCACGAGACAUGAGGAGCAGUGGAGUGUGCUGAACACGGCUGGGAAGCUGAUGGCAAACAAUCGAUAUCGGGCAGGUGUGCAGUCCUUUGACCCGCUGACAUUCAGCUGUUCAGUCAGAGCUCGGGCUGUCGACCAGAGGAGGGGUGAGCUGGAAAACGCUGGUUUCAGGUGGCAUGUUUUAGACUGUAGAAUAUGACAACAUUAUGGGGAACACAAGCAAUGUUUGUGCUGACAAAAUGAUUGUACUGAAUAGAGUGCGGUUUAAUGUAGUUAUGUUACGUUUGAUUAUGCAGUGUGUUAUAUAAACAGCGUAGGCAGUGUGGUUAGUUCUGCUGGUUCCUUUCAGCUCUCAGUAAAAGAGAUGAGUCAGUGAACAGAUAUGUAGCUCCUUUAUGGCUUUGUGAAAGGUGGACUGACUAGACAGCUUUUAAUAAAAGGGUUUUUCUCAAAGCGUUGCCCAUGCACAUGAAAGUCCUCUUUCAGUAUAUACCAAUGUUGAGCUAAUGAUCUACCUGGGUGUUUGCAGCUGCUACAGACAACACAAGGGGCAAAUUGGCUCUAUCAUGUAUUCGGCACGGCAACCGAGCGGUUCAUUUCCCGCUGACUAUUCAGGUUAUAGUGGAGAUACGUAUCCAAGGCAAACCUCUCAGUGGGAUAGCAUUGUCUGUUUUAUUGUAUUGGAUAAUAAUUCUAUAUCACACUGUGUAUAAUGCAAUGUAUUUCAUCUGUUUAUCCCAUAAUUUACUGGAUUUUUAUUCAACCUAUAAGCUUAAGAUAUAUAUCUCUGACAUGGUUUAGUAGUUGCUAAGAGGGAAAAUGGAGAAUGAAGAAGGAAAUGAAGGAAAACAGGAGGAGUGAUAUGAUAGGAGAGGAGCGGGAUGAGAGGAACACGCUGCAGGUUAAUAUGAUGAGUUGGCGCUAGAUUCGAUCAGCUCUGCUUGUUUGACCCAACCUUUCCCAGCCUGAGCAACCAAUCAUAGUAAAGCACCGACCAAACCGAUAAGGCUGAUCCAAUCAAAACUCAGCCAAUAUAGUGGGGCGUAGAAGCUAGAGUGGAAACACAGAGUAAAUGAAAAAAAACAACCAAAAAUAGACAAGUUCUAAGUAAAAAAAAUAAAAUAAUGCAGAUUUUAUAUAAAGCUCAUCAUCAUUUUAAUAAAUGUUGAUCUCCUUUGCUUCCUGAACUGAUUGUAUAUUUCUUUGUUGAGGAGUGACUGGAUCAGUCAAGUGUGUUGGACGCAUCCCCGGCACUGGUAGAUGUGUACAGCAGAUGAGAGUGAGCGUGGAGAGGGAGAAUAUCAGAGCCCAUACUGAAGAGGGAAAAAAAAACUCAAGAGCAACAUGAAUGCGUUUCAGAGCAGCUUAGUGAUGUGCUAGAGGAGAGAGCUCACAGAAAAUAAUUGGAUUUCAUUUUUGGUCUGCAGGCAAAAAAAUAAAAAAUAAAAAAUACAGUAGAUGCAUGCCGUCUCCUCAGAGCUCCAGCUACAGGUAUCAUAAAGCCGAAAAAUGUUUGAGUUCUUUGCAGAAGUCAUAUAGAAAACAGAGAAGAGCAGAAAACUUUUCUCUAAGCUCCCUUAGUGCUUCAUGAAAAACUGCCCCUCCAGUCUCUACAUCCCGAAACAACACUGCAGUAAUCACACACAUUUAUGUGGAUACCGAAGAACUGAUGACUAAUUUAUCACAAUAAGCUGUUAUUUGCUCAUCAACACCUGUUGUUUACUUUGACAGAAGGCCAUGUGGUGGUGAUGUGGCAGAUUAGUAUUCAUAGAGUAUUUCUGGGUUUGCUGCCAUAAAGAUGCCCGCAAUAAUGACAAGAUAGUCAGCCAUAACAACAUCUGCAUUAGGAGAAGGCACAUUUCUAGUCAAAGCAAAAAUCUCGAAUGGUAAUUAAUUUUACCUAACAGGGCUCCAGAAAAUGUUCUUCUUUUAGUAACCAUCUAAAAUAACUAAUACUUUAUAUGUAAUUUUGCAACAAGAUGAAAAAGGCUGUAAAAAAGAAAGAAAGAAAAAGGCCUCACUGUCAGACUGUAUACCACAAAAUACUAUGUAUCGUCUUGUUCCAGCUCUUUCUGGGCUUUCAGUAACUCUCUUCUGCAUAUACAUCACAAAAAAGGUGAGAAAAAAGCAAAGCAACACAAGACACCAACACUACAAUGCAACACUCUGAUGAAAAACGUCUGGCAAUACAUUAACAGGAACAGUUACAGCUUUCAUGUAUUAGUGUUUAAUAAUUCAUAUUUAAACAAGCCCAAGUGGCCAGAC